rnacentral:rRNA from 1 species
AGAGUUUGAUCCUGGCUCAGGACGAACGCUGGCGGCGUGCUUAACACAUGCAAGUGGAGCGACGAACCAGGCUUCGGCCUGGGGCAGAGCCGCGAACGGGUGAGUAACACGUGGGUAACCUGCCUCGAUGACUGGGACAACCCGGGGAAACCCGGGCUAAUACCGGAUGUGCUGUCUUCACAUCAGUGAGGAUUGAAAAGGAAGCUUCGGCCUCCGCAUCGAGAUGGGCCCGCGGCCCAUUAGCUUGUUGGUGAGGUAAAGGCUCACCAAGGCUGCGAUGGGUAGCUGGUCUGAGAGGACGAUCAGCCACACUGGGACUGAGACACGGUCCAGACUCCUACGGGAGGCAGCAGUGGGGAAUAUUGCGCAAUGGGCGAAAGCCUGACGCAGCCACGCCGCGUGAGCGAUGAAGGUCUUAGGAUCGUAAAGCUCUGUGGAGGGAGAAGAAGAAAGCCGGUGAAGAGCCGGCCUUGACGGUAUCCCUUUAGCAAGCACCGGCUAACUCCGUGCCAGCAGCCGCGGUAAU